AUUGAACGCUGGCGGCAGGCCUAACACAUGCAAGUCGAACGAGUGGCGGACGGGUGAGUAAUGUCUGGGAAACUGCCUGAUGGAGGGGGAUAACUCCUGGAAACGGUAGCUAAUACCGCAUACCAUCAGAUGUGCCCAGAUGGGAUUCGCUAGGGGGUGGGGUAACGGCUCACCAAGGCGACGAUCCCUAGCUGGUCUGAGAGGAUGACCAGCCACACUGGAGAGGAGACACGGUCAAGACUCAUACGGGCGGCAGGAGUGGGGAAUAGUGCACAAGGGGCGCAGGCCUGAUGCAGCCAUGCCGCGUGUAUGAAGAAGGCCUUCGGGUUGUAAAGUACUUUCAGCGGGGAGGCGUUACCCGCAGAAGAAGCACCGGCUAACUCCGAGCCAGCAGCCGCGGUAAUUC
rnacentral:rRNA from 1 species